CAGCCGCCGCGGUAAUACGAAGGGGGCUAGCGUUGCUCGGAAUUACUGGGCGUAAAGGGCGCGUAGGCGGACAGUUCAGUCAGGGGUGAAAGCCCGGGGCUCAACCUCGGAAUUGCCUUUGAUACUGGCUGUCUUGAGUACGGGAGAGGUGCGUGAACUCCGAGUGUAGAGGUGAAAUUCGUAGAUAUUCGGAAGAACACCAGUGGCGAAGGCGACACACUGGCCCGUUACUGACGCUGAUGCGCGAAAGCGUGGGGAGCAAACAGGAUUAGAUACCCCCGUAGUCCCUGUCUCUUAUACA
rnacentral:rRNA from 1 species